ACCGAGCUGACGAGUCCUAAACAGGACGAAACACGCGUCCUGGAU
rfam:Schistosoma mattheei strain Denwood, Zambia genome assembly, scaffold: SMTD_scaffold0000182